GCCAGUGGUGGGAGCCAAUUGUCUGGGUAAUGUUGUGGUUAGGUAGCAUUGGUUGAUUGGCCAUCAAUUCACUGGCCAGUCAGAAUCUGAACCAAUCUCAUUUAUAUACAUAUACAUACAUGCCCGUCUCUCUUACAUUUUUAUCUCUCAUAAUCAGAAGUUUACAAAAGAUUCAGAAGUUGGCAUAUAUAUGCUGCAAAUUAGGGUUGAGAUAAUGAUGAGUUCCCUAAGGUGAUGAUCCUUUUUGUGAUCUUCCACAGCUUUCUUGAACUGUAGAAAUAGAAAUUGAGCUGAAACAAUUCAAGAAAGCUGUGUAAAAUUACCGAGAGGAUUUGAUGAUGACAAAAACAUAUGUCUCCAGCGGCAGUAAGAGGCUUUUCAUAUUAUUUUUGUUGUGGAUUCCUUUCAAUGAGAAGAAGAGUGUUGGUGGUCAGAUCAAUAACAAAGGCUAUAAUGAUUGAACUUGUAUGAAGUCAUGGCAUAAAUAAGCUACAGGUUGAAACAUUUCUGCAGAGAUCCGUUUCAUGUCAGAUCUUCCAUAAUUUAGGUUUCUUUGCAGCAUCUCAGAAGAUCGGUAUGAUUCUGAUUCAUCUGGGCUGGAACAGCAGCAUCUUUUGUUUUAUCUUACAGAAAAGUGCAAGAGAAACAUUCUCAUGAUGGAAUAUUGAUUAAUUUCAAAAGCAAAGUGAUUAACAUGCAUGCGAUUCAUGGCUGAUCGAGCACUGAAAUAUCCACAUGGACACGAUGUAUUGCAGAAACUAGGUUGAAUUAAUUGCAGCUGAUGGGGCAAUGUAAGUGUUUUCACUUUGCAUUAACAUGUACUAUUAGUGGGAUUGUCCACAAAGUGCCCGUGCUAGCUGAAAGGUACCAAAGUGGAGAUGCUUGCCCUGGCACUUAUAUAUACAUAGUCGAACGAAAGUCUCUCAAUCGGGUUUUCGGAUGGGCAAAUUUAGAGAACUACAUAGACCGAAAACCUUCUCAAAGUGCUGCAAAAGCUAGCUUAACAUCGUCCUUACUAUUAUCAAAUCAUAAGAGGAGAGGGCAGUUGAUCUUUAUAAAAUGAAAAUAAUAAGAAUAUUGAUGCAUUUGAAUGACA